GUUUUCACAGGCCAGCUUUUGUAGAUAGGCUACAGGGUCAAUAUUCUACGAAUCCAUCUGGGAACUCAUUAAGGGGGAAAAGAAAAGGAAAAGUUGUCUUUCUUGAAACAGCCUAAGUUUGCUCUGAAAGGGCCUGCUGUGUAAUACACAAAAGAGGAUAAAUUGGUUGCUGAUUUAUUCCUUCUGAGUUCCCUAGUACUGAAUCCACUAUGUAGAUUAAAUGUGUACAAUACGGUAUGUCUGUCCCAUGAAGCCAGCCAUUUGGUGGAUCCUUGUAGGUGACUGACAACACCCACAACUUUUCCAGUCCUAGUCAGGCAGCAAAAAAUAGGGGAUGCUUUAUUUUGUUUUAGUUCUUGGGAAAUUAUGCUAGGAAGCUAUGUUCUGCUUUGUGGGUCACAAAUUGUGUGUGUUUCCAAUGGGUGAUUAGAGUUGGGUAUAGAUUGCUGAGAGUUAUGACUGUCAUCAUUACCAAUCUCAUAGUGGUCAAGGAUGAUAGGAUUUAUAGUCCAGCAACAUUUGAAGGGCAACAGAUUCCUCCUCCUUGGCUUACAGCUUAAGUUCGGAUAAUUGCAAUGACAGCUCUUUCGGCUUAGUUUCAGGGGCCACAGAAUCCUUAAUUUGUAUCCAUUGCACUAAUUACUUCUACUUCACGUGUAUAAGGUAGAUGGCAAAACUAAACAAGCUGUUGCUGAAAUUUGUGCUGAGCGCAGUUGGACUCUACAUUGAUAACUAAUGUGAAAUGUGUAGGUUUGUAGUUAUUAUAACAGUAAAAUUCGUGGGUGCACCUGUUUUUGGCGAUAGUAUUGUUUAAAAGGAAGGGACAAAACCAGAUCUGUUCCUUGAAGAAAAGCAGUGCUCCAGUAAUCAGAUCUUGCCUGUACAUAAUUUGAUUUCUUUCUGACUCUGAGGAAAAAUCUGAAAACAGCAGCUGGAUCAAUUUCUGCACUUGGAAGCUAAUUUUGAAAGUUCAGUAUUUCUGAAAAUGAAAUCUAGUUGGAGCAACUUUCUAAAAGUGUUGUGACAUAAAAGAGACUAAUGUUAGUAGUGUCAAUAAACUUGAGAGGCUUCUUUGAAUGUACAAUAUCCAAGGUUUAUAAUGAAAAACACUGUAAAAAUAAUAAUAAUCUCCAAUGGAUUUUCAAGUGCUGGAUGGUCAGGCCCUAGGUGUGAUUGUAAUCAUAAUCAUAAUCCAGAUGAUAUUAUAACUGGGAUCCAGUAGGAUAUUGAUCUUCUGCCUCCCUUGGGAUAAUGGGAAAUACUUUAACUCUUGUGCUGUGAAGCUUUGUAGGAGAGCAUUAGUUUCACUGAUUUGGACUCUUAAGGGUCACACUAGACACAAUGCCAUUCUGCACAGUUUUCAAACGGCUUUUAAAAAGGCAGAUGACAAGCAUAAGGGCCCUGUUCCAGUUUCGGACCCCGGUAUGGGUGGGGUGCUUUAACUCUUUCCCUCCUCCCGCUCUAUUCUCAAUUUGUCUCAGUCUCCCUGUGCGUCAAGCCAUUGAGGCAAUUGCUAAUUUAAGCUGGCGUUUAAGUAGAAGCUGGCCAUUGAUCAGGGCUGGAGGCUUCCUGCAUUAGCAGGGCCUUUGACUAAUGACCUUUUGAGGUCCCUUCCAACUCUGUGAUUCUGAGGUGGAGUACUGUCCUCAUAAUAGGUCUUUCAAAGAGCUUUUCGGAAGGCUUUUGGGGUGAAAGGGGAGAGAUUGAAGAACACCGUUAGAGAUUUCCUGGAUCAGACUGAGAUUUCACUCAGUCUGGUGGUUCUCAAUUUUUUUACUCUGGGCCACACUUUCAGAAUAAAAAUUUGCUUGCACCACACCAAAUUUUUUAUGGAUAAGAAAUAUAUUGGAAAACAAAAAGUGCUGGAUUUAUAACAUAGAACCCAAAUACUUUAUAAUAUGAUCACAAGUCAUCCAGGAAGUACAAAACAAUGCAGCUACAUAGGAAGAUGAACCAUUCCCAGAAUAAAAUUUAAACGAACCUCUUACAUAGGUACAUUCAGUAUGUAUACAAAUGCAAUGAAAGGUGUGACCUUGCAGUAUCACAUGAUGUUCUUGCUCUCCUUUUGAAAAGUUAUCUAUCCAUAUUCUACAAAUAAAAAACACCAUUAUUUUGAUACUGUACUAUAUUCCACUGAAAGGUUUAUAUGUUUCUUUGAUUGUCCUUGAAUCUUGGCCAUGAUCUCCUGCCACACCUUUUGAGGACCAUUGCCUUAAUCUUUUUCUCCCAGUGGCAAGUUGGAUGUCCUUAGGAAGCCCACAGUGAGGGCUUAAAGGCUUGGGUUGACUUGCCCAAAGGCACUGAAUACAUUUGAAAGCUGAAUAAAGAUCCAUACCCAAGGGAAAAGGCAAAAAAUUAUCCACCAUGUUUUAUUGGUUCAGUUGUUAGAAGAUAUUUUUCAUGCUGUCAAGGUGACAUUCUCAAAUAAUUACAUUGCCAGUUAAAGCAAUAUUGCACUAAUAGAAGAUUAUUCUUGUGCUCUUUAAACUUUUCUAAGACUAAAUUCUUUCUUUCUUUCUUUCUUUCUUUCUUUCUUCUUUCAUUACAUUAUUCAUCUGAAAUAUUGCUGUUCAAUAUCAAAGCAAGCCUUAAUUUCAACGUCUGCUGAACAAUGUUGCCAUCUUGAUUAGCACAUCAUAUAUUUGGUUUUAGGACUUUACAAGCAAAUAGGGAGCCCAUACUAAUGAACUAAGUAUUAGGGAGUACUGAAUGUGUUAUGAAAUGGGGAGGUGCUGUUGUAAUGGAUAGUUAGUGAGGUUUUUGAAAGGCGCCUCUUGCUUUCAGGUAGUCCUUUGGGUUUACUGACUAAUGCUUCUUUAAAAGGUGCCAGCUGACAUGUGGCAACUCCCACAAUAUUUCUUUGCCCCUUGGGAAACAGGCUAAGUGCUGAUAACUUAUCAGCAAUAUUUUUUUAAAAUGUGACGUUGCAAUAACUUCUCAUUCCAUCUAAAAAAAAGAUCUCUCUGGCAAAGAAAUAGGCGCUACUUGCUUCCUCAAUGUCAGUAAGAUUUAUGAUAUAAAAUAAGAACUGCCAACUUGGGGGGGGUGUGUGUGUGUGUGUGUGUGUGUGUUACAGUUGCUGGGAAAGGCUCCAUUAUUAGCUGGAAAUAUUAUUUUUUAACCAAAACCCACCCCAAACCCCUAUCCUAAAGAAGUCCAGUUCUUCAAUUUCAAGAUGUGGGAAAAUUAAGUAUGCCAAGCUCUUUCUGGUGUGAAUAAAGAAUUAUAGAGAAGUUAAUAAGUGUUGGCAAUAUUAUGUAGGGCCAAAUUUCAUUUCAUUUAUUUUUAGUCAACUUAUAGACCACUUACAAUCUUCUCUAUCUAUAUAUACUAUCUAUCUAUAAAUAAAUAAAUAUAUGAAUAUAGGCACCCACACUUGCGCAUCACUGCGUAUACAUGCGUCACUGGGAAAUAAAUAAUUACAUCUGUUCAAACCUGGAUAUGCUGGGAGAGAGGUGGAAAGUCCUAGUGGCUCGUGAGCCACACACAUCCCCCUCUGUUGAGCCCAAAGAGGAUGUCAGUCUGGAAAUAUAAGGUUUAAAGAGCUUGAAAAAGGAACUUAUGGGCUCUAAAAUGGCACCUGAGAGCUCUCUGCUGCUGCGCUACCUUGCUCAACAGCUGUAUUGCAGAGGGCUCAAUUGCGCUGUUCCCUGCCCUUUCUGGUGAUCUGGAGGCAAAGGUACAGUAUAAAGGGGGGGGACUGUAUUUUAGAUGCCCUUUUGCCCUAGUUCUCCAUUCUGAAGAGGCUCCCCACUUGCACAAAUUUUGCUUAUGCACACUGGGGCCCUGAACGUAACCCCCACAUAAGUGGAGAGUCACCUGUAUAUAAAAUCUUGAAGCAGUUUGCAUCAAAAGAUUCUAAAAGAGAGGGAAAUUCUCUAAACAUACAACAAAAAACUACAGGUAUGCAGAUGCUAUAAAUAACAUGCAGAU